GGGCAGGGGGAGAGAGAGGAGAGAGAGAGAGAGAGAGAGAGGGGAGAGACUCCCCGGCUCCCUCCCUCCCUCGCACACAGCGACUGGAGACGGACGGAGAGCGACGCGCCGGGAGAGGAGAGACCACCGAGCACAGCCCCGCGCUCCCACACAGACACUCACACUCCGCUCCUGCCUCCCCCCGCCUCCUCCUCCUUCCACCCCCACCACCACCACCGUCUCCUCCUCCUCCUCCUCUCCGCAACAAGAAAAAAAAAAGCCAUUUACAGGGGUGAUGUGCAACUAAUUAAAGGCAGACUGGCAGCGUCUGCAAAUUCUAAGGCUCCCCAAAUAAAAAGAGACUGUUGUAACAGUUGGAGGAUAAUGCCAAGGAAGACCCAGCCUGGGAGCUCGCCGCCCGUGGUGGAGAUGCGCCCCAGAGAGGAAUAAAA